GGAGAGGUGUCUGAGCUGGCCGAAGGAGCCCGACUCGAAAUCGGGUAGGCGGUUAAACUCCGUCUCGUGGGUUCGAAUCCCACCCUCUCCGCCA
rnacentral:tRNA from 1 species